GAUGAACGCUGGCGGCGCGCCUAACACAUGCAAGUCGAACGGCCGGACCCACCCCGGUGGGCGAGGCAGUGGCGAACGGCUGAGUAACACGUGGGCAACCUGCCCCCCUCCCCGGGACAGCCUCGGGAAACCGUGGGUGAUACCGGAUGUUCCGCCCCCUCCGCAUGGGAGGGGCGGGAAAGCUCCGGCGGGGGGGGGAUGGGCCCGCGGCCUGUUAGCUAGUUGGCGGGGCAACGGCCCACCAAGGCGACUAUGGGUAGCUGGGUUGAGAGACCGACCAGCCAGAUUGGGACUGAGACACGGCCCAGACUCCUACGGGAGGCAGCAGUGGGGAAUCUUGCGCAAUGGGCGGAAGCCUGACGCAGCGACGCCGCGUGCGGGAGGAAGGCCCUCGGGUCGUAAACCGCUUUCAGCAGGGACGAGGCCGCGAGGUGACGGUACCUGCAGAAGAAGCCCCGGCUAACUACGUGCCAGCAGCCGCGGUAAUACGUAGGGGGCGAGCGUUAUCCGGAUUCAUUGGGCGUAAAGCGCUCGUAGGCGGCCUGCCAGGUCGGGAGUCAAAUGCGGGGGCCCAACCCCCGGCCGCUCCCGAUACCGGCGGGCUUGAGUUUGGUAGGGGAAGGCGGAACUCCCGGUGUAGCGGUGGAAUGCGCAGAUAUCGGGAGGAACACCGGUGGCGAAGGCGGCCUUCUGGGCCACGACUGACGCUGAGGAGCGAAAGCUGGGGGAGCGAACAGG
rnacentral:rRNA from 1 species